rnacentral:rRNA from 1 species
UACGUAGGGUGCGAGCGUUGUCCGGAAUUAUUGGGCGUAAAGAGCUCGUAGGCGGUCUGUCGCGUCGAUCGUGAAAACUUGGGGCUUAACCCUGAGCUUGCGGUCGAUACGGGCAUGACUGGAGUUCGGCAGGGGAGACUGGAAUUCCUGGUGUAGCGGUGAAAUGCGCAGAUAUCAGGAGGAACACCGGUGGCGAAGGCGGGUCUCUGGGCCGGUACUGACGCUGAGACGCGAAAGCGUGGGGAGCAAACAGG